rnacentral:rRNA from 1 species
AGUGAACGCUGGCGGUAGGCCUAACACAUGCAAGUCGAACGGCAGCACAGUAAGAGCUUGCUCUUACGGGUGGCGAGUGGCGUACGGGUGAGGAAUACAUCGUAAUCUACUUUUUCGUGGGGGAUAACGUAGGGAAACUUACUCUAAUACCGCAUACGACCUACGGGUGAAAGCAGUGGAUCUUCGGACCUUGCGCGAUUGAAUGAGCCGAUGUCGGAUUAGCUAGUUGGCGGGGUAAAGGCCCACCAAGGCGACGAUCCGUAGCUGGUCUGAGAGGAUGAUCAGCCACACUGGAACUGAGACACGGUCCAGACUCCUACGGGAGGCAGCAGUGGGGAAUAUUGGACAAUGGGCGCAAGCCUGAUCCAGCCAUACCGCGUGGGUGAAGAAGGCCUUCGGGUUGUAAAGCCCUUUUGUUGGGAAAGAAAAGCAGCAGGUUAAUACCCCGCUGUUCUGACGGUACCCAAAGAAUAAGCACCGGCUAACUUCGUG